AACUAUUACUAUGGUUCUACCUCAAGAUAUUGUAUCAAGGACACAGGUCAAAUACAGUCAAACGGCAGUUGGGGAAACUUGUCUUUUCUGGCAUAUUCCUACAACAGCUGUCUGGAUCCAGCUGCUCAGUUUCGGUUUCGUGAUAAUGGUGCCAUGUUGAAUCUAAAAAGACAGGGAUGUCUCGCUGCUUUUAAUAAGAGUGGUUCUGGUUAUGAUCUUGAUAUGUUUUAUCUUUACGUUGACUCAGUCAGUUUAGACACAGCUGCUUGUGCUCAGAAGCCUAACGAGAGCAUCUAUCGUGCUAUAACCCAGACUCCCGAGGGAGGAUUAUCUGUUUAUUAUAAAGGGAAAGAUAAGAGUUCAUUUCAAACCUGGUGUGCAUGGUAUAGAUAUAAUUCACAACUUUAUAGAAAUUAUGGGAUUGUCUACUACAUGGAAUUGUCGACACGAUGUCAUUCCAUCUAUUCUGAUCAGAAAUUCAUUUUCGGUAAGUUUUUGUUAAAUAUUUUCUAAUGCCGGUCUGAAGACGUUGCCUGGAGUUUUAUAUUAAAUAAAAGUGAAACAAUGCUAUAUUUUUUUUUUUCAUUCAAUCUGUUCAUUUGGCUCGAGUCGAUGAUUUCAAGUGAAUGCCCGGGGUACUGAUAAAACAGAACACAAGACAAGCGUACACUAUCGGAAAUUAACGAAUGUCUACGACGUAAUAGGCCUACCAGGCUUCCAGUUCGGUUCGGUUUCCGCAAAUUAACCGCAGAUAAUCCGAAAAAUAACCGUAAGAAAAAGAAGUCUGUGAGUUUGUGAGUUUGUUGUGAGUUCUAAGUCAUUGAGUUCGUCUGUGGAACUUGCAUAAUUUUUAAUUAAUUAAGUGCAUUACAUUGGAGUAGAAACUUGGUUUGUUGUCUAGAAACAAGUCCUUAGAAAGAAGAAACGCUUGCUUUACAAUGGUAUAAUCGGGUAGGGUGUUGAUGUGUACUAUAUGUAUUUCAUAGCUCUUUCAUGUCCAGACAAAAUCUGUUACUAUAAACUUACCAUAGCUUAGUUGAACAACGACUAAACUAUUGUAGCGGAGUUUGGGACACUCUGUCUGAUGGCCUAUCCCAAAAAUUGCAAAAAUUGCAAAACAGGGCAGCCAGAAUCAUCACAAAGAGCGCGUAUGACGCUUCAUCUAGUGAAUUACUUGUUGAACUUAGGUGGCGUGCACUUGCUCAUGAGCGAAGAACUAAAAAAGCUAUCAUGAUGUACAAAGUGCUUAACAACUUGGCUCCUGAGUAUUUAAAAGAUUUGUUUCGCGAAACCAAUCAAGUACAUGAUAAUGAUUUGCGAAACUCUGAUUUAAAUUAAAUCUUUUACCUCCAAAACCAAAGAAUAAUCUUCUCAAAAAGAGUUUUUCAUACAGCGGAGCUGUAAUCUGGAAUUCUCUUCCAAGACAUGUUCGCUUGGCUAAUUCGCUAACAGAAUUUAAGAGGUCGCUAAAAUUUAGUGUGUAACUCUCCAAUAACGUAUAGCCUAUACAGUAUGAUAUUAUAUUAUAGUUUUAUAUUAAUUUUUCAUGUCAUUAGUUUUGUAACUUUAUUUAUGUAUAUAUAGUUAAUGCACGUCACUCUGGAAGAGCACUUUUGUGAAUGAGUUUUUACGUGGGUAAAUAAAGAUUUCUAUUCUAUUCUAUAGUCUUUUGAGCAUGGGCGUACCGGGCGGGGGGGGGGAGGCGAGGGGGGUGGCAGUCCCCCCAGUUUGUUGGGCAAACAAAGCCAGUCGGGCAAUAUUCGCUUCACAGUCGAGCAAUAUUGGCUUAUUAUAAAAAUAAAUGGGACAAAUUCUGUCAAUUUUGUGGGAAAUAUGCUAUCUAACAUGAAUUUUUGAAAGUUUCUCCGGAAAAUUUUUUUUGACGACUCGGGCACAAUCCGAAAAAGUCGGGCAAAUUUUUUUCCGCCCCCCCCCCCUAAAUUUUUCCUUCUCGUAUGCCCAUGCUUUUGAGAAUAGCAAUCAGUAGUGGGAAUUUUCCAAUUUUCCCAAUCCGAUAGAUAUAGGACACCUAUAUAUGGAACGAACGCGAGCUCCAGCCCGAUUUCCAGCCCGAAUUUGACUGGUUACAUAAAGGCUAUAUAGGCUAAUAAGGUGCAUAAUAGCGACAUAAGUGCAGAUUUUACGGUUAGAUUGUCAGAUAUUAUGUCCAGGUCAACUAUUAUGUCCUUGACAGCACUUAAAGAGAUAAAGAUAACUUUUGUCAAAAAUAUUAUAAAAUAGAAACGUCUGUUCUAUUAAAGGUUCAGUGACAUGUCAUGGUGAUAAAGUGAAGAAUGCCAACUGUCCUAAAGAUCAAUACAUGGUGGUCAAGUUUGCAACUUAUCGUGGAUUGCUUGCACCAAAGACAUGUGGUUUAAGUGAUGAUUAUAGUUAUGAAGUUGAUGUAACAUGUCUUGUUAAGAAACAAUGUGAUGGUCUACAUGAGUGUAAUAUAACUGUGGAUGACAAUUUGUUCUCUGGUGAUCUAUGUCCUGGAUUGUCAAACUAUCUUUACUUUGAAUAUCAAUGUGUUGAUACUGUGAAACCUUUCAAAGAACUUUGUGGUAACUUGAUGGUCACAAUUUAUAGUUUCAAUCGACUUCUCUUAAGAGUUGUGCCCAAGACAGUUUGCCAUGUGUUUAAAAAUGUUCAACCUUGAUUUUGCACACACUUGUCAUGUGCAUGUUACUCACAUAUCAGAAAUAUUUAUUAUAGCCUUACAUGGCAAAAUAAUCGAUAACCUUGUUCUUUUCGCGGUGUUUUUGUAGUUCAUGACGUGUCUCUAUCACAUUCAACUCUGCCUUACGAAGGUGUUGUACAAAUUACCAUUGAUGGUGCGACCAAGAAUGUUUGUUGGCAAAGUUCAAAUCA
rnacentral:lncRNA from 1 species